AGCAGCCGCGGUAAUUCCAGCUCCAAUAGCGUAUAUUAAAGUUGUUGCAGUUAAAAAGCUCGUAGUUGAAUUUCGGGGUUCAUCCGUUGGUCGGGCUUUUUGGUCUGUACUGGCGUGAUGGAUUCCUACCUUCUGAAUAACCGGCAUGCCAUUAAUUUGGUGCGCCGGGGAAGCAGGACUGUUACCUUGAAAAAAUUAGAGUGCUUAAAGCAGGCUUAUGCCUGAAUACAUUAGCAUGGAAUAAUGAAAUAGGACGGCAUGGUUCUAUUUUGUUGGUUUCUAGGAUCACCGUAAUGAUUAAUAGGGAUAGUUGGGGGCAUUAGUAUUCAAUUGUCAGAGGUGAAAUUCUUGGAUUUAUUGAAGACUAACUUCUGCGAAAGCAUUUGCCAAGGAUGUUUUCAUUAAUCAAGAACGAAAGUUAGGGGAUCGAAGACGAUCAGAUACCGUCGUAGUCUUCACCAUAAACUAUGCCGACUAGGGAUCGGACGAUGUUAAUUUUUUAAUGACUCGUUCGGCGCCU
rnacentral:misc_RNA from 2 species